CCUACGGGAGGCAGCAGUGGGGGAUAUUGCACAAUGGGGGGAACCCUGAUGCAGCGACGCCGCGUGGGUGAAGAAGCGCCUCGGCGCGUAAAGCCCUGUCAGCAGGGAAGAAAAUGACGGUACCUGAAGAAGAAGCCCCGGCUAACUACGUGCCAGCAGCCGCGGUAAUACGUAGGGGGCAAGCGUUAUCCGGAUUGACGGGGUGUAAGGGGGGCGCAGACGGCGAUGCAAGCCAGGAGUGAAAGCCCGGGGCCCAACCCCGGGACUGCUCUUGGGACUGCGUGGCUGGAGUGCAGGAGGGGCAGGCGGAAGUCCUGGUGUAGCGGUGAAAUGCGUAGAUAUCAGGAGGAACACCGGUGGCGAAGGCGGCCUGCUGGACUGCAACUGACGUUGAGGCCCGAAAGCGUGGGGAGCAAACAGGAUUAGAUACCCUGGUAGUC
rnacentral:rRNA from 1 species